rnacentral:rRNA from 1 species
ACCUACGGGGCGCAGCAGUGGGGAAUAUUGCACAAUGGGCGAAAGCCUGAUGCAGCAACGCCGCGUGAGCGAUGAAGGCCUUCGGGUCGUAAAGCUCUGUCCUCAAGGAAGAUAAUGACGGUACUUGAGGAGGAAGCCCCGGCUAACUACGUGCCAGCAGCCGCGGUAAUACGUAGGGGGCAAGCGUUAUCCGGAUUUACUGGGUGUAAAGGGAGCGUAGACGGCGGCGCAAGUCCGGAGUGAAAGACCACGGCCCAACCGUGGGACUGCUCUGGAAACUGUGCGGCUUGA